UGAUACAGGGGAGACAGAUGGACCUCUGUGGAUUAGGUGAAGGAGGGGUUGAGGUCAGGACAGAGAUGUGUUGAUACAGGGGAGACAGAUGGACCUCUGUGGAUUAGGUGAAGGAGGGGUUGAGGUCAGGACAGAGAUGUGUUGAUACAGGGGAGACAGAUGGACCUCUGUGGAUUAGGUGAAGGAGGGGUUGAGGUCAGGACAGAGAUGUGUUGAUACAGGGGAGACAGAUGGACCUCUGUGGAUUAGGUGAAGGAGGGGUUGAGGUCAGGACAGAGAUGUGUUGAUACAGGGGAGACAGAUGGACCUCUGUGGAUUAGGUGAAGGAGGGGUUGAGGUCAGGAGGUCAGGACAGAGAUGUGUUGAUACAGGGGAGACAGAUGGACCUCUGUGGAUUAGGUGAAGGAGGGGUUGAGGUCAGGACAGAGAUGUGUUGAUACAGGGGAGACAGAUGGACCUCUGUGGAUUAGGUGAAGGAGGGGUUGAGGUCAGGACAGAGAUGUGUUGAUACAGGGGAGACAGAUGGACCUCUGUGGAUUAGGUGAAGGAGGGGUUGAGGUCAGGACAGAGAUGUGUUGAUACAGGGGAGACAGAUGGACCUCUGUGGAUUAGGUGAAGGAGGGGUUGAGGUCAGGAGGUCAGGACAGAGAUGUGUUGAUACAGGGGAGACAGAUGGACCUCUGUGGAUUAGGUGAAGGAGGGGUUGAGGUCAGGACAGAGAUGUGUUGAUACAGGGGAGACAGAUGGACCUCUGUGGAUUAGGUGAAGGAGGGGUUGAGGUCAGGAGGUCAGGACAGAGAUGUGUUGAUACAGGGGAGACAGAUGGACCUCUGUGGAUUAGGUGA